rnacentral:ncRNA from 1 species
UAAAAAGCUUUGACAGAGAGUAGUAAAUUUGAAUCUCUAUUUUAGGGAAAAGGUGCCGUAGACUGUAAGCACUUUUAUAGUAGACCAAAUUGAAUUCACCUCUUGAGCUAGCGCCGGGACCAUUUUUAAAUGUAAAGGCGACUCGGUCUAUCUAAGUAGAUCGUUAUAUGAAUGAAGUGAGCAGUUAGUUUUUUGUAAAUAAUAACUGUUAAUUAGGGUGGUACCGCGAUCAAUCCUCGUCCCUUUU